rnacentral:rRNA from 1 species
UACGAAGGGGGCUAGCGUUGCUCGGAAUCACUGGGCGUAAAGCGCACGUAGGCGGAUUGCUAAGUCAGGGGUGAAAUCCUGGAGCUCAACUCCAGAACUGCCUUUGAUACUGGCGAUCUUGAGUCCGGGAGAGGUGAGUGGAACUGCGAGUGUAGAGGUGAAAUUCGUAGAUAUUCGCAAGAACACCAGUGGCGAAGGCGGGUCUCUGGACAGUUCCUGACGCUGAGGCACGAAGGCCAGGGGAGCAAACGGG